rnacentral:rRNA from 1 species
UACGUAGGUGACCAGCGUUGUCCGGAUUUACUGGGCGUAAAGAGUGCGCAGGCGGUCGUUCAAGUCGAGUGUGAAAGCCCCCGGCUCACUGGGGAGGGUCACGCGAUACUGCUCGACUGGAAGGCAGGAGAGGGAAGUGGAAUUCCCGGUGUAGUGGUGAAAUGCGUAGAUAUCAGGAGGAACACCGGCGGUGUAGACGGCUUCUGGACCGUAGCUGACGCUGAGACACGAAAGCGUGGGUAGCAAACAGG